GAUGAACGCUGGCGGCGUGCCUAAUACAUGCAAGUCGAGCGAACAGACGAGGAGCUUGCUCCUCUGACGUUAGCGGCGGACGGGUGAGUAACACGUGGAUAACCUACCUAUAAGACUGGGAUAACUUCGGGAAACCGGAGCUAAUACCGGAUAAUAUAUUUAACCGCAUGGUUCAAUAGUGAAAGACGGUUUUGCUGUCACUUAUAGAUGGAUCCGCGCCGCAUUAGCUAGUUGGUAAGGUAACGGCUUACCAAGGCGACGAUGCGUAGCCGACCUGAGAGGGUGAUCGGCCAAACUGGAACUGAGACACGGUCCAGACUCCUACGGGAGGCAGCAGUAGGGAAUCUUCCGCAAUGGGCGAAAGCCUGAAGGAGCAACGCCGCGUGAGUGAUGAAGGUCUUCGGAUCGUAAAACUCUGUUAUUAGGGAAGAACAAAUGUGUAAGUAACUAUGCACGUCUUGACGGUACCUAAUCAGAAAGCCACGGCUAACUACGUG
rnacentral:rRNA from 1 species